AGCACGUAAGGGCGUACGGUGGAUGGCUUGGUAGCGAGGAGCUGAUGAAGGACGUAGCAGCCUGCGAUAAGUCUCGGGGAGGUGGCAAGCAACCUGUGAUCCGGGAAUUUCCGAAUGGGGCAACCCAUCGCGAUGAAGUCGCGAUAUCCUACGCUGAAUACAUAGGCGUAGCGAGAGGCACCUGGGGAAGUGAAACAUCUCAGUACCCAGAGGAAAAGAGAAAAAGUUAUAUCCCUUUCUAAUUUCUGCGGAAACAUUACAUUCGCAGAAAUUAGUAAAGGGAUUUGAUUCCGUGAGUAGUGGCGAGCGAAAGCGGACGAGCCUAAACCUUUUUGUGUGAACCUAUACACCGAGUUGGACGCAAGUUUGACCGCGGGUAUGGGUGACGAGCUUGGGCUGUCGCACAAAUUGGUGUUGCGGACGGAACGUAGAGUCCCCAAGAACUCUGAUGUGUUUGAGGUUAUAUAGUCGAAUCCGAUGGAAAGCGGAUCCAAAGAAGGUAAUAGACCUGUAGGCGAAAUAUACAUCUCAAGGCAUUGUUCCAGAUCCAAAGUACUAUGGGGCCCGAGAAACCCCGUAGGAAGCAGCCACGACGAUGUGGCAAGGCUAAAUACUCCUCCUGACCGAUAGUGAACAAGUACAGUGAUGGAAAGCUGAAAAGCAGCCCGGGAGGGCGAUGAAAUAGUAUCUGAAACCGUACGCUUACAAGGAGUCGGAGUCUCGAUUUAUCGGGAUGACGGCGUGCCUAUUGAAGAAUGAGCCGACGAGUGUGCUAUGUGUCGCUCGGUUAAGUCCGUGCGCGGACGAAGCCAUAGUGAAAGCGAGCCUUAAUAGGGCGUUUGUGGCACAUACACGACCCGAAACCCGGUGAUCUAGCCAUGACCAGGAUGAAGUUCCGCGAAAGCGGAAUGGAGGUCCGAACCCACGAGCCGUGCAACACUCGGGGAUGAGUUGUGGCUAGCGGAGAAAUUCCAAUCGAACUGGGUGAUAGCUGGUUCUCCCUGAAAUAGUUUUUGGACUAGCGUUGGUACAUAGUUUAACGGGGGUAGAGCACUGAAUGGGGAUAGGGGCGCAAGCCUACUAUUCCUAACCAAACUCCGAAUACCGUUAAAUGUUCCCAGCAGUCAGACCAUGGGGGCUAAGCUCCAUAGGUCAAAAGGGAAACAGCCCUGGACCGCAGAUUAAGGUCCCUAAAUUCAUGCUAAGUGUGAAAAGAGGUGGAAAGACUUGGACAACCAGGAGGUUGGCUUAGAAGCAGCCAUCCUUUAAAGAAAGCGUAAUAGCUCACUGGUCAAGUUUUUCUGCACUGAAAACUUAUCGGGGCUAAGCAUGAUACCGAAGUCGCGGAAUCCGCGUUCUCCUCGGAGAGCGGGAUUGGUAAGGGAGCAUUCGUAACAGCAAUGAAGCGGGAGCGUGAGCCACCGUGGAGCGUUGCGAAGAGAGAAUGUCGGCAUAAGUAGCAAAAAAACAGGUGAGAAUCCUGUUCACCGUAAACCCAAGGUUUCCAGGGCAACGCGAAUCGUCCCUGGGUUAGUCGGUCCUAAGGCGAGGCCGAAAGGCGUAGUCGAUGGACAGCAGGUUAAUAUUCCUGCACUACCGUAUGGUUUCGAUGGAGUGACGCAUUCACUAAUUUUCUGAGAUUCCCGGAAUGAAUCUUUGGGCACUUUGGGGUGACUGGUAGGUAAAUCCGCCAGUCGCAAGCCCCGGGGUGAUCGCAAGUCUGCCGCGAGGCGGGCAAGAGAAGAGGAUGGGGUGCCAAGAAAACCUUCUAGAGCCAACUAUACGGUAACCGUACCGAUAACCGACACAGGUGGGUGGGCAUAAGUGUGCCAAGGUGUACGAGAGAACCCGUGUAUAGGAACUCGGCAAUACAACGGCCGUAACUUCGGGAUAAGGCCUGCCCGUCGCAAGACGGGCCGCAGCGAAAGACGCAAACCGACUGUUUACCAAAAACACAGCUCCCUGCUAAACCGCAAGGUGAUGUAUAGGGAGUGAUGCCUGGCCAGUGUCAGAACGUCAAGCGGAGAGGUGAAUCCUUCGGGAGGCAGCCUUGAAGCCAAGCGCUGAUGAACGCCGGCGAUAACUAUAAUCGUCCUAAGGUAGCGAAAUUCCUUGUCGGGUGAGUUCCGACCCGCACGAAUGGCAUAACGAGUUUGCGACUGUCUCUACAUGGGACUCGGCGAAAUUGCAAGUGGGGUGAAGAUGCCCUGUACGCGUAGUCAGACGAAAAGACCCCGUGAAGCUUUACUAUAACUUGGUAUUGGGUCACGGCAGUGUAUGUUCAGUGUAGGUGGGAGCCUUCGGGCAACAAUGAGACACCACCCUUACACUGUUGUGAUUCUUGAUCUCCGUCCGUGAAUCCGGAUGGAGAGACAGUAUCUGGUGGGUAGUUUAACUGGGGCGGUUGCCUCCUAAAAGGUAACGGAGGCGUUCACAAAGGUUGGCUAAGCGCGGAUGGAAAUCGCGUGUGUCCUGUAAUGGGAUAAGCCAGCUUGACUGCAAGACCAACAAGUCGCGCAGAUACGAAAGUAGGACAUAGUGAUCCGACCGUACGAUAUCGGACGGCGGAAGCUCAACGGAUAAAAGCUACUCCGGGGAUAACAGGCUGAUCGGGUCCAAGAGUCCACAUCGACGACCCGGUUUGGCACCUCGAUGUCGGCUCAUCGCAUCCUGGGGCUGGAGAAGGUCCCAAGGGUUUGGCUGUUCGCCAAUUAAAGCGGUACGCGAGCUGGGUUCAGAACGUCGUGAGACAGUUCGGUCUCCUGUCUACUACGCGCGUGGAAUUUUGAGGGAGCGGAUCUCUAGUACGAGAGGACCGAGAUUCACGAACCUCUAGUGCACCGGCUGUCCCACCAGGGGCACCGCCGGGUAGCUACGUUCGGCGCAGAUAAACGCUGAAAGCAUAUAAGCGUGAAGCUGUUCCCAAGAUUAGAAUUCAGAGAGCCCUUCUAGACGAGGAGGUUGAUAGGCGGUAAGUGUAAGGGUCGCAAGACCUUCAGCUGAGCCGUACUAAUAGCUCGAUGCUUCG
rnacentral:rRNA from 1 species